GGAAAACUGUUCCCUCAAUCAAAAAUAGAGGAAGAAAUUGAUAUGCAAAAGAGACUUGCCAAUGUGUACUUUAUGGCUAAAAAGCGUAAAAUGGAGGCUGAAAGUGGCGAGAACAUUCAAAUUUAGGACAAGAAUAAAUGAAAUCUUGUUAUGUUUUAUAAAUGUAUCAAUAAAAUCUUUUUUUUGAAAAUACUUGUAUACUUACUGUUUCUUAAAUCUAAUUUGCCUAGCUCAUCUGAGCUGAAAAUCACUAAAAAAAAAAAAAAAAAAAAAAACAAAAAAAAACCAAAGUUUGUUGUCAGCCAUUUGUGAAAUUUGACAGUUUUAUCUUCUCUUAAUUUAAAGCUCUUCCAUGUAUUAUAUAUGAUAUUUAAUCAUAUAAUAUUGUUUUGAAUUUAUGGUAUUGUAUCAUGAUUUGAUACAAUGGUGUAUCGUAUUAUAUUGUAUUAUAUGAAACACUAUUCUUUAUAUUACAUAAAACAAUGCUGUACCUUUAUCAUAUGAUACAUUUAUAUUGAAUUAAUACAAUAUUAUAUAAAUAUAUUUACAUC
rnacentral:misc_RNA from 1 species